rnacentral:rRNA from 1 species
GGGGAAUAUUGCGCAAUGGGGGAAACCCUGACGCAGCAACGCCGCGUGAAGGAUGAAGGUUUUCGGAUCGUAAACUUCUUUGAUGAGGGACGAACAAAUGACGGUACCUCAAAAACAAGCCACGGCUAACUACGUGCCAGCAGCCGCGGUAAUACGUAGGUGGCGAGCGUUGUCCGGAAUUACUGGGUGUAAAGGGCGUGUAGGCGGGAAUGCAAGUCAGAUGUGAAAUACCGGGGCUUAACUCCGGGGAUGCAUCUGAAACUGUGUUUCUUGAGUGUCGGAGAGGAAAGUGGAAUUCCCAGUGUAGCGGUGAAAUGCGUAGAUAUUGGGAGGAACACCAGUGGCGAAGGCGACUUUCUGGACGAUAACUGACGCUGAGGCGCGAAAGCGUGGGGAGCAAAC